AGUGAACGCUGGCGGUAGGCCUAACACAUGCAAGUCGAACGGCAGCACAGUAAGAGCUUGCUCUUACGGGUGGCGAGUGGCGGACGGGUGAGGAAUACAUCGGAAUCUACUUUCUCGUGGGGGAUAACGUAGGGAAACUUACGCUAAUACCGCAUACGACCUACGGGUGAAAGCAGGGGAUCUUCGGACCUUGCGCGAUUGAAUGAGCCGAUGUCGGAUUAGCUAGUUGGCGGGGUAAAGGCCCACCAAGGCGACGAUCCGUAGCUGGUCUGAGAGGAUGAUCGGCCACACUGGAACUGAGACACGGUCCAGACUCCUACGGGAGGCAGCAGUGGGGAAUAUUGGACAAUGGGCGCAAGCCUGAUCCAGCCAUACCGCGUGGGUGAAGAAGGCCUUCGGGUUGUAAAGCCCUUUUGUUGGGAAAGAAAAGCAGCAGGUUAAUACCCCGCUGUUCUGACGGUACCCAAAGAAUAAGCACCGGCUAACUUCGUG
rnacentral:rRNA from 1 species